CACGUAGGGGGCAAGCGUUGUCCGGAUUUAUUGGGCGUAAAGAGCUCGUAGGUGGCUUAGUAAGUCGGGUGUGAAACCUCCAGGCUCAACCUGGAGACGCCACUCGAUACUGCUAUAGCUUGAGUCCGGUAGGGGAGCGUGGAAUUCCUGGUGUAGCGGUGAAAUGCGCAGAUAUCAGGAAGAACACCAACGGCGAAGGCAGCUCGCUGGGACGGUACUGACGCUGAGACGCGAAAGCGUGGGGAGCGAACAGG
rnacentral:rRNA from 1 species